CCUACGGGUGGCAGCAGUGGGGAAUAUUGGACAAUGGGGGAAACCCUGAUCCAGCGACGCCGCGUGAGUGAAGAAGUAUUUCGGUACGUAAAGCUCUAUCAGCAGGAAAGAAAAUGACGGUACCUGACUAAGAAGCCCCGGCUAACUACGUGCCAGCAGCCGCGGUAAUACGAAGGGGGACAGCGUUAUCCGGAUUUAAUGGGUGUAAAGGGAGCGGAGACGGGAGCGCAAGUCAGGCGGGAACUGCCGGGGCGCAACCCCGGAACUGCUGUGGAAACUGUGAAGCUUGAGUGCAGGAGAGGUAAGCGGAAUUCCUGGUGUAGCGGUGAAAUGCGUAGAUAUCAGGAGGAACACCGGCGGCGAAGGCGGCUUACUGGACUGUAACUGACGUUGAGGCUCGAAGGCGUGGGGAGCAAACAGGAUUAGAUACCCCAGUAGUC
rnacentral:rRNA from 1 species